rnacentral:lncRNA from 11 species
UUUGCUAUGACCUUAACUGAAGAUGAAAUUAACGUAAGGUGAUGCUAUACAAAGACUCAAUGAUAUAUUUUAAAGUUUGUAUAUUGAAAAUCCAGAUGGGGAUCCAAGAAUGAUAUAGUUUGUCUCAUAUCUCCAAGGGGGCUUUCCUAAAUUGAAGUCUCUUCUCACCCAUUCACUCCAUAUGACAAAACUGUUUUAAAGAGAACAGCUAGGUUGUUCUAAUAUCCAUGCUUGUCAAGAAGGACUGAUGUGGAAUAAAUAGAAAGGAGCAUUAUUGAGAACAACGCAAGCCAGUUAUUUACUCUGGGAUACAGGUGACUGAACUUAUAAAAAUCACUGCAGGACAAGAUGUAUUGAGGCCUGGCAUGGAAUGACAAAUUCUGCUGCUUCAUUUCUUAUAGACCGUCCUAGAAAUAUGAUUGACUGGUGUUACAUUUUAGCAAAAAGAAUGUGCUAUAUGGACCAAGCUGCACCCAGGAAUAAGGGACACAAAGUGCAUUCAACAAGUCAUGCAUAGGAUGUAUAUUGGAUGUACUAUGUGCUAUAAGGAAAUAGACCUGAACAGGAUGGAAAGAAGAUGGUGUUCAUGACAAGAAAAGAAAUAGUUAGAUUAGGGCAGAGGAAAGACUGUUGGAUUGAACAACAGAUACUGUUAAACUGGUGAGAAUAGAGUUGUCUUGAGGAACAGCUGCAAAAAUGUACUGAAAAAACCUUGAAAUUACAAAUAUGGCCCACAAAGUCCCACCCUUAGACAAGCAAAGAAUAAGGCACAUGGCGGAGGCAUUUGAAGACCUCCAUGAAAAAAACCAGACUUGGUUAGGGCCGGCUAGCCUCACCAGCCCAAUCACAUGAUGGGGCCAAAGCAACAAACUAUUUGAGGCUGUGGCUUUUAUAAAACAGGUAAACAAUAAAAAUUGAAUAAAAUACAAUCUUCAAUGAGCACAUUAAAACCUGUUUCUUCUUUUGCCUGUGGAUUGUAAUGCACACUUUCUAGUACCAAUCUGUGAUUCUCACAAAUAUCUCUAACCUCUCACCUGAAGUGAAAUUUUAAAAAAUUAGGUUUUUUUAAAAAGAAAUCGGCACAAGUUUAAGCAUGCUUUUUUCCGAUCCCCAUGAAAUAAAUCAAAUUCCA